rnacentral:lncRNA from 1 species
GUCCUUGCCCGCGCCAGUGCCCGCCGGGGUGCGGCGAGACAGAACCUGGGAGCGCGGCGCGCCGGGCAGCCCGAGGCACCGCUGGUGGCAGGCGCUGCGCUUCGCCGAGUCUGGGCGCCUGGACUGGAAGAGGAGGCGAGAGGGAGAGAGCGGGGAAGAGGAGGAGGAGGAGCAGGAGCAGGAGCAUGGGCAGGGGCAGUCUGCUAAAUCAUCUACGCAGAAUCUUCAGGUAUUGGAUCCUGAUACAGACCAGAUAUUCUGGAAUUCUCUCUCCAACAAAAGAUUACUUCAAGGCCAGAACACACUCCCAGCUAGAGAUCCAAGUGAAUUCCUAUGAAGUAUGCAGGGAAGGGCAAUGCUAUUUUUUUCAACAGAAAAAUAACCCUGUAGUGAAGAUGAUUUGCUCAGGGUCUCACAGCUAGUCACCGGGGAAGCCAGGAUUUGAACCCCCCAUCCUCUCAGACCUGCUUUUAACCUGACAUUUUGAUGCCUGUGCAAGUCAUGGGACUUGAUUCUAGAGUAAUAAUGGAAAGGAAUUAUAUUUGUGUCAAAUAGAAUAAGAUGCAAUUUCCAUUUUUAAUGUCUAAAAUCGUUGAAUAUUGGCAAUAUCAUGUAGUUCUACUUAAUAUAGAUAGCCAAGUACUGUGGGGAAAUAGUGUAGAUUUUAGCAUCUGACUAGCCUAAGCUAGAAUCCCAGCUGCACCUCAUGUCAGAAUUGAAUUACUUCUAUAUUGUUUAACUUUUCUAAGCCUUUGUUUAACCUUCCUAAGCCUUUGUUUCCUCAUUUUUAAAAAUGGUGGAGAAUGGUACUUCCUUUAAAGGUCCUUAUGAAGAGCACACAGUGCCAUGUCUGCAAAAAACCUAUCUCAGUAUAUCAGUAUAUUAUGCAUAGUAAGUUGUAAAUAGAACACAGCAGAUAUUAUUGCCAAUAAGGGAUUAACAAAUACCAAAUUGGAAAAUAAGAGGAGCAUUUUAAUUGUUUGUUGUAUGUUUAAUAUUGUAUUUUUAGAUAAGAAAUAAUUUGUCAUUCUUUUUAAAUGCUGAAUACUAUUUUUUAGUACUGAGUGCUAUUUUUUAAUUUGUAGAUUAUUUGGCUAUGUGUGGGAGAAGAAGGGCAUUAUUGAUGAUUUCUAUGUUCUGUCUCUUACACAUAUUUUCUUUUUUUCUAUAAUAAAUAAGAAGUGUUUUUAUAGUGGAUAUGAAGCUAUAAGAUAAAAAUUGGUUUAAGCAUUAAAUGAUAAAAUAUUAAGAAUUUAAAAAAGGAACAACUUUCUAAAAAAGUCGAUAGCCUCUGGCUGAAAAGGAGAGUUUGAUAUUUAAAGUAAAAAUCCACGUAUGUCUUCCAUCUGCUCAUGUGCAUUCUGUCAGUCAUUUAUACAUUUAUUCAUUCAUUCAACAAAUAAUAUUUAAGUGCCACCAUGUUUCAGGAACUGUGAGGAGAUUAGAAAAAGAUGUAAUUCUUAAUUCAUAAUGGGUUAUUGAUGACAUCUUUUCCUCAGAAUAAUGAAAUGCCAGGAAGAUGCACCCUUCUUGGGCAGUCAGAUAUGUAUACUUUAUAUGCAUAUUUGAGCUCACUGAACAAGAAUAGGAAAUAGAAACUCAGCUUCAGGAAAAUAAUAGAUUAUUUCUAUCAUACAUUCAAUGGCUACUGGAAGACUAACUUAUAAAGAUAUAGGUGGUAUAUUUGCCAUUGAAAAAAAUCUUACAAAAAAUGCUAAUAGGUACUAACUGUCAUUAAAACACUGAACGUUACUAUUAAAGAAACUAAUAAGCAAGGGAAUUCAUACAAGGAAAAAAUAAAAUUACAGGUUUAAUGAAAAGAAUGUUUACCUUAGGAUAGAGAAACCCAUAACCAAAAUUUGAGAAAUCUUUGAAAUGAUAAACAGCCAUUGACCUGUUACGGGUUCUGCACUGUGCUUGCCCAAAGAGUUUAUUUUACUUUUUCUUUUCAUGCUGUAGGUCAGAGUAAAACAUUUUCUCAUUCAAUGUUUUAAGUUUUGAUUAAAUGGCAUUGACAUUUAUUGAUUUUUAAAAUAUUAUGAUUAGAAAAAAAUAGAAUUUUUUCAGAUGGUAUCUGCAACAUAAUUGGCAGCUGAAUUUGAAUUCUGCUUCUGUCCUAAUUGGUCGUAUAAUCUUAGGCAGGUCACUGGACAAUUCUGAGCUUCAGUUUUCUCAUCUAUUAAUUAGGCAGAAUGGUUUCUAAGAUACAGGAUGGUUGUGAGGAUGAGUGUUAUGAGAUAGAGAACAUGUCUAGGAUGGUAUCUAGGACACAGAAGAGACUCAAAUGUUAUCCCUUUCAUUCAAAAAAUAUUUGAUGCAUGAAAUGUGUGGUUUUCAAAAAAUUGCUGCUAUUUUAGUUCUACUUUUAAUUAUUUCUUAGAAUCUUUUUUUUCCUCCUUGGAAAUAUGUAACCGA